rnacentral:rRNA from 1 species
UACGUAGGUGACAAGCGUUGUCCGGAUUUACUGGGCGUAAAGAGCGCGCAGGCGGUCGAUCAAGUCGAGUGUGAAAGCCCCCGGCUCAACUGGGGAGGGUCACGCGAUACUGAUCGACUCGAAGGCAGGAGAGGGUAGUGGAAUUCCCGGUGUAGUGGUGAAAUGCGUAGAUAUCGGGAGGAACACCAAUGGCGAAGGCAGCUCGCUGGAACGGUACUGACGCUGAGGCGCGAAAGCGUGGGGAGCGAACAGG